UACAGAGGUCUCAAGCGUUGUUCGGAUUCAUUGGGCGUAAAGGGUGCGCAGGCGGCGCGGUAAGUCGGGUGUGAAAUCUCGGAGCUUAACUCCGAAACUGCAUUCGAUACUGCCGUGCUUGAGGACUGGAGAGGAGACUGGAAUUUACGGUGUAGCGGUGAAAUGCGUAGAUAUCGUAAGGAAGACCAGUGGCGAAGGCGGGUCUCUGGACAGUUCCUGACGCUGAGGCACGAAAGCCAGGGGAGCAAACGGG
rnacentral:rRNA from 1 species